rnacentral:rRNA from 1 species
GACGAACGCUGGCGGCGUGCCUAAUACAUGCAAGUAGAACGCUGAAGGAGGAGCUUGCUUCUCCGGAUGAGUUGCGAACGGGUGAGUAACGCGUAGGUAACCUGCCUGGUAGCGGGGGAUAACUAUUGGAAACGAUAGCUAAUACCGCAUAAGAGUAGAUGUCGCAUGACAUUUGCUUAAAAGGUGCAACUGCACCACUACCAGAUGGACCUGCGUUGUAUUAGCUAGUUGGUGAGGUAACGGCUCACCAAGGCAACGAUACAUAGCCGACCUGAGAGGGUGAUCGGCCACACUGGGACUGAGACACGGCCCAGAAUACUACGGGAGGCAGCAGGAGGGGAUCUUCGGCAAUGGACGGAAGUCUGACCGAGCAACGCCGCGUGAGUGAAGAAGGUUUUCGGAUCGUAAAGCUCUGUUGUAAGAGAAGAACGAGUGUGAGAGUGGAAAGUUCACACUGUGACGGUAUCUGAACAGAAAGGGACGGCUAACUACGUG